UUCCCAUUCAAGGCAAUGUCAUCCCAGUGCUUGACACUGGGAUCCAGAAAUUUUGGGUACAAAAGUAAUCCUAAGUUUUUAUUGAUGAGAUUACGAAAGAGUGGAUCCCAGUGUCAAGCACUGGGAUGACAAUAAGGAGCUACCUGAAUG
rnacentral:ncRNA from 1 species